rnacentral:lncRNA from 1 species
AGAUUUUAUUAAGAUUUAGACUGAUUGCAGACAUUGUGCUUCACAUUUCAAGAUGGCAGGUGACACCUGAUCUACCUAAAUACAGAAAAUUUUCAUAAGCAUUAUUGUUGAUUGUUAUACUUGUAAAUUGAGGUAGAUAGUUUAUGGAAUAUACAGGAUUUUAAAUCAUAUUUAUUUAUCCAUCUUUUGUACUUCUGUGAAGUAUUUAUAUUUAUACAGCAUGAAUAUAAUUAUGGAAUUGUUCAGAAUAGGUAAAUGAUACAAUUUUAAAUGUACUAUUCUGAACAACAUGCUUAACCUAAUCUAUGAAAAUGUAUUUCUGUGACAUAGUUGAAGCUUAUCAUGUAAUAUAGAGACAUAAGAAUUGAUACCAGUUGAAUAUGCAGUUGUGUGUAAUCCCACCUAUCUAAAAUAGUAAUAAAUCCAUGUAAAAUAUAAAAACAAAAUCCUUAGUACAGAGCCUGUGAAAAACUAUACAUGUAUGUAUGUAUUUACAUUUGUGGUGUAUGCUAAAACAAUUUGCAAUUUAAAUACUUUGGUAGUUAAGUAUUUGUUAGUCCCAUUUACAUUUGAUUAAAAUUUGCUUUUAUCAUUUUUUAUGAGUUUAUCUCACAUAUUAUAUAUGACUUUAGAGAGAGUGCUUUGAUAGUUCAGACUUAAACCUUGAACAACCUUUUAUGCCCUAUCUAUUAAGUAAAACUGUAACUGUAUAUAGUUUUACCUGUACUUUGAAUAUUGUAAAAUAUGAGUUUCAGGGACUUUUUUUAAUGGUGCCUGUUUUUGGCAUGAAGUUUUUAAUUUUGAUUUUGAGUUAGAAACUAUAAGUAUAUUUUUCUUCAGGAAAAGUUUAUGUAAAUCGGCAAUAUUUCAGUUUUUGAUGAAAUUUGAACUACAUCUGAAAACCUAAAAAAUAUAAAGUAUUGGCAUUAUUUUCAAAAGAUACUGAUGAAUAAAGAUUGGGGAAGGCAUUUCAAUGAAUAGAAUGUUUUUAAAAAUAGACAUAACAUAUAUGCAUUAAUUCACUUCUAUAUAUAAGUGUGAUUUCAUUAAAAAAUGUCCACAGAAAUUUAUUUAAAAAUGAGAUUUAAAGUCAUGAAAUCAAUGAAAAAUAUUGAAGGGGGUGUCAUUGGAUUUGUUUUUACUGAUUUCUUGGACAUUAUUGAUUGUUUUUUUUUUUUAUCCUUUUAAAGAUAAGGCAUUAUAAGCCUUGCAUAUAAAAGCUGAAAAAGAAAAGUCAUUGACACAUUUUCCUCCUCUCCUUCAUCAUUCAGGGUAACAAUAAAAAUUAUAGGUAAAAAAAACAUGAUUCAUAAUUGUGCAUGUUUCAUUAUUUGAUUUGGGGUAAAUUUCUUUUCAUUCAUUGUCAAAGAAGUCCCAUUGAAUAUUAAGCAAAAAGUUGAAGAAAAAGGUUGCAUUUUCCUCAUAUAUGUUUGUAAGAAUUAUAUGUAAAUGAUAUUUUUAUUUAUUGGGUGGUUAGGGACUAACAAAAGUGCCUCCUAUUUUUCAUGCGCUUAAUUCUUUAACCAAAAUUUAAAAAAAACAUGCAUGAUUAUUGGUAAUUCAUACAUUUAUAGAUAACACACAGUCAGUUAUUGUAAUGUUUAUUUAAAAUAUAUUUUAUAAAUGUUUCUUUUUCUUUUCUGAUUUCAUAAAAUUUUUAUCAUUGUAAGAAAUUUUUUGGUGGUUUAUGGUGAUGAUUAAAACGUGGUAAUGCAAUAAUAAAAUAUAAUUCAUCAGCAAUUUUAUAAAGACUUAAACCCAAACCAAAAUUUCUAAUAUCAAUCAACUAUUUAUAAAAUAACUAAAAAUUGAAAAUAAAAAAUGAUUACUAGUAUGAUUUUUAUUCCCUGGAUAUUUUAAUAGUAAUAAUUUGAAUAAUGUUGGUAUGGGGAAAACAAUAUUGUUUCUGAAACCAGGGAGGUAUAUGAGAUAUAACUUCCUUGCUGAAACAUUGUGUAAUAUGUUAUAUUUAUUGAAAUCCAACCUUUAAUGAUGUUUUACUACACAGUUUAUGUAAAACUGCUUAGGAAAUGAUUAUAGACUUUGUUUUUCAAUAUAAUUUGAAAUAUUGAAGUUUCAACCAAAAAAAACCAAACAUUAUUGACUUUUGAAAGGAUAGUUGUACAUUCCAGUUCAAGGUGCUACUGUACAUUUAUCAAUAUAUCAAAAUAUUUAUUUUUGUUCACUAAUUUAUUGUUGUACUUUCAAUUGUUAAACAAAAUAAAAAUGUUGUUUUUUAUU